rnacentral:rRNA from 1 species
UACGAAGGGGGCUAGCGUUGCUCGGAAUCACUGGGCGUAAAGCGCACGUAGGCGGAUUGCUAAGUCAGGGGUGAAAUCCUGGAGCUCAACUCCAGAACUGCCUUUGAUACUGGCGACCUUGAGUCCGGGAGAGGUGAGUGGAACUGCGAGUGUAGAGGUGAAAUUCGUAGAUAUUCGCAAGAACACCAGUGGCGAAGGCGGCUCACUGGCACGGUACUGACGCUGAGGUGCGAAAGCGUGGGGAGCAAACAGG